AGGGUUAGGGUUUCUGCCGAGCAGCUCCAUGAGUCGCCAUGCCCAUGAAAUUUCUUUUGGGUUUCUGCCUUUGUUACUGACAGGAGAUGAGAGAGCCAAUAAAUUGGAGGUACCAUAAAUACAUGAGAUAUGCAUUGGAGGUUAAUAUAUACAAGGGUUUCUUGCAAUUUCCUCUUCUCUGUCUCUCCUCCCUUCCCCCAGUACAGGCCGCUCCUCUUGCCUGUUUAUCCUUCUGUUUAAGGUAGUUCAGAUUCUUGAUCAGAAAAAGCAAAAAUCAAAAGAAAAAGAAAAGCAAAGGCGGUCAAGAUUCUACCACGUGAAGGCCAAUGAAUACUUUAAUUUUGAAAGAUUGGAAAAGGCCACAGUGGCUUGGGGCUGUUGUGGACAAAAAAAUGGAGAAGGGUCAUCAAGAGGCAGCACCUUCAAAUCAGGACUAGGAUGGUGAAUUUGUUGACUAUAAAGACUGGAAGAAAGCAAUUCAUUACAAAUUUACAUGUUCCCAAAAAAACAAAAGCACAAGCACAGUGGCUCUAUCCGCUCCAACCAUUCAGAAGCCGCCGUCUCUCUCGGACUAAGCCAUAUGCUAUGUGAGACAAAGCAACUGACAACUCAUGCGGUUCUGUUGGCUCCUUAUACGCCACUAUGCUGCUGGCAGCAUCUCUUACAGCUCCUUUCUUGCACAUGACAAUCAGAUUGCCAUGUGCAAGAAAGGAGCUAUAAAAGAUGUUUCCAGCAGCAUAGUGGCGUAUAAGGAGCCAACAUAACCGCAUGAAUUUUGAUUGAUUUGAAGGGUUUGAGCUGGAAGGAGGCCAGGAAUAUUACUCAAAGUUAACUCCCUUUAUGGGCAUUUAUUGGUUGAUUAUGUAGGAAUUUUUGUAGUGUAUGUACAAAUGGGGAAUUCAGAGGCAUUUGAGAAUGGUUGGAAUAUGAUAAUACAAGCAAGAGACUCCUACUUGUUUCUAGAGGAGGGCAUCCU